rnacentral:lncRNA from 1 species
UAGCGUUCUUUGAUGUUUACCGGGCUAACAGGCUAACAGCUUCAUUCUGGCAGAUACACCCCAUCCCCUCUCUGUUCAAAUACCUGAUAUUUUCUGCCAUUUGACUGGGUCUGACUAAGAGGUUUCUUUUUCUUUUUUUUUUUUUAAUCUUUAUUAAAUUGGGUAUUUCUUAUUUACAUUUCAAAUGUUAUUCCUUUUCCCGGUUUCCUGUGCAUCAGCCCCCUAACCCCUCCCCCUCCCCUUCUAUUAUGGGUGUUCCCCCCCCCUAUCCUCCCCCCAUUAUCUCCCUCCCCCCAAGAAUCCCAUUCACUGGGGGUCCAGCCUUGGCAGGACCCAGGGCUUCCCCUUCCACUGGUGCCCUUACUAGGCUAUUCAUUGCUACCUAUGAGGUUGGAGCCCAGGGUCAGUCCAGUUUCUUAAUGAAAACUGAAGAACUGGAAUGCAUCGGGGAACUACUUGGGAUUAAAGUGAGAAAUUAGUGAUGCUUCUGGGGGUGGGGAGGAAAUGGGCAUGGCCUGCCUCUCUGCCUUCCCUCCUUUCUUUUGCUUUUCUGUG